GUUUUCAACCCAUUACACUCUCCCCUCUUUUUGAUAACUCCUGGCAUCUGUUUGUUUGUCUGUGAAGUCAAUUUCUGGGCAGUGUCUAGCAUGUUCAGACAAGUGGUGUUCCUUCAUUCCAGUAACCUCAUUGUAAAACUGGAUAUGUCAUGUUUCCAGGCACCAUGUAAGAAUUGAGCACAACUGUGUUUGCUCCUUGUCUCCAUGACUGGUAUGACGGUUAUCCCAAACUCUCUCAUAGCUAAACAUUUCUCUGGGCCUUCCAGUGCGCGUGGACCUUCUCACAGGUAAGUCUUCCUUUCUAUUGACCUCUUGCCGCUGUACUAUCACAACAUCUUGGAGGUCCUCCUGCACUUCACCCUUCACUCCAUGCUGUUCAGGUCCUUCAGACUGUUGCUGGAUCUGUUCUAUUUCCUCUGCCACUGUAGGUCUGAACUCCUGAGCAGAAGCUGGCAGUCUGGUACGCCACUCUGGUUGACUUGGUUGUGGUCUGACAUCGCUCUGGUGGACCCGAGGACUGUGCUGGUUUGGUUGGAGUGUCGUGAUGCACUGGCAAGUCAUUUACAGCUAACAGGAGGUUCCGGUGCUGCACACGAAGCGCUUUGUCUCCAGACUCUGACUGGAUCUUAUACACUGGACCCUCUCUAAUUCUCUCCACAACUCUGUGUACUGUCUUCUCCCAGUAAGCACAGAGUUUCCCGGGGCCACCUCCUUUCCGAUAAGUUCCUCACAAGGACUCGAUCACCUGGCUGUAGAGUUGCACCUUUGACACCUAUGUCAUAGUCCUUCUUCCCUUUCACUGAGGACUUUUGACUGUUCUCAGAAGCGAUUUUGCGACUAGUCUCAUUUUGUGUGUGUCUUGCGUCUUUGUUGCCCACUUCUCUGUGAAUGUUUGUUGGGUUCUUGUCACUGUUUCUGGUUCGAGCUUGAACAGUAGGUCGAUAGGAAGGCGUGGAGCUCUGCCAUACAGGAGGGAAAAUGGUGAGUAUCCCGUUGCGUCGUGCCUUGUACAGUUAUAGGCAUGGAUGAUGUUUGGUAGAUGGUCUUUCCACUCUGUCUUCUCUUCUUACAGAGUACGGAGCAUCUGCAGGAGUGGUCUAUUCAUCCUUUCCACAGGGUUACCUUGUGGAUGGUAUGGGUUAGUUAGUGUGAGAUUUCUGCCUCAAACAGGUUGUUCAUGAACUCUCACCCUUGGUCAUGGUGAAGCUUACUAGAAUAGCCAAACCGAGGAAUGAAGUUUUUGAAUAUGUUCUCGGCUG
rnacentral:lncRNA from 8 species